CAUGCAUUCCUAUGUUUCAUUUUUGACUUAGAAUGUUGUGGGUCCACGUCUGACAUGUGCUCCACUACUUUCUCCUCUAGGUUGUCCACCUAGGUCAUAAUAAAUGAAUAUAGCAUACCUUGGGCCCCUCAUGGGUGACCACGGCAUAAUCAUAGGUCAGACAUCAGUUGUGGAUGAUUUUCGUGCUAAGGCAUGUGAGCGGAGGGUGUUGCACGCAAAUAACUUUGGCUCUGCCAUCCCCCCA
rnacentral:lncRNA from 1 species